rnacentral:rRNA from 1 species
GACGAACGCUGGCGGCGUGCUUAACACAUGCAAGUCGAACGGAAAGGCCCUGCUUUUGUGGGGUGCUCGAGUGGCGAACGGGUGAGUAACACGUGAGUAACCUGCCCUUGACUUUGGGAUAACUUCAGGAAACUGGGACUAAUACCGGAUAGGAGCUCCUGCUGCAUGGUGGGGGUUGGAAAGUUUCGGCGGUUGGGGAUGGACUCGCGGCUUAUCAGCUUGUUGGGGGGGUAGUGGCUUACCAAGGCUUUGACGGGUAGCCGGCCUGAGAGGGUGACCGGCCACAUUGGGACUGAGAGACGGACCAGACUCCUACGGGACGCAGUAGGGGGGAAUAUUGCGCAAUGGGCGGAAGCCUGAUGCAGCAACGCCGCGUGCGGGAUGACCGCCUUCGAGUUGUAAACCGCUUUCGCCGGUGACGAAGAGUGAGUGACGGUAAUGGGUAAAGAAGCACCGGCUAACUACGUG